rnacentral:rRNA from 1 species
CCCUUAGAUGUCCUGGGCUGCACGCGCGCUACACUGAUGUGUCCAGUAAGCACCUAACCUCUUCCGAAAGGAACGGGUAACCUUUGCAAAGCACAUCGUGAUGGGGAUAGAUUAUAGCAAUUAUUAGUCUUGAACGAGGAAUUCCUAGUAAGCACAAGUCAUCAGCUUGUGUUGAUUACGUCCCUGCCCUUUGUACACACCGCCCGUCGCUCCUACCGAUUGAAUGUUCCGGUGAGCUCUUCGGACUGCGCGGUCUGCAGUUUCUGCGUUCCGUGCGGAAAGUUGCGCAAACCUUAACAUUUAGAGGAAGGAGAAGUCGUAACA